CCUCCGCGGGGACUCGACGCCCGGCCCACCACCGGGGGGGGGCUCGGCGACCCCUCCCCCCAGGGCUGUGGGCACCUGCAGGGCAUGGGGACCUGGGGGGGCGCGGGCACCUGCAGGGCCUGGGGGCCUCGGAGGGCGCGGGCACCUGCUGGGCCUGGAGGGACCGCGGGCACCUGCCGGGCUUGGGCCCGUGGGAGGGGGGGCGGGCACCUGCCGGGCCUGGGGGGGGCGCGGGGGAGCCUCAGGUCCCCGGGACCCCCCUACUCUGGGGUCUGCUUGCAGACUGCUGGGCCCACCCCUCAGGGGAGCCUGGAGGGGGCGCGGGCACCUGCUGGACCUGGGGAGCACGGCCCGUCCCCGGGACGCGCGGGGGCCCAGAGGAGACAUAGGUCCCCAGGACGCCCCUGCUCCAGGUCUGCUCGCUGGCAGCUGAGCUCACCCCACAGCGGAGCCUGGAGAGGCGGCGAGCUCCUGCUGGGCCUGGGGGGGCGCGGGCACCUGCUGGACCUGGGGAGCACGGCCCGUCCCCGGGACGCGCGGGGGCCCAGAGGAGACAUAGGUCCCCAGGACGCCCCUGCUCCAGGUCUGCUCGCUGGCAGCUGGGCUCACCCCACAGCGGAGCCUGGAGAGGCGGCGAGCUCCUGCUGGGCCUGGGAGGCGCGCGCAGAGGAACCUCAGGGUCUGCACGGGGCCCAUCCGCCGAAGGGAUCGCGCAGGUGGUGGGGGCAUCCUCCUGCACGAACUGUUGCCCUCACUCUUCGCUCCCUUCUCCAAAUCCAAGUUCCACAGUGCAUAGAGGUUCUUGGGAAUCUCCUGAAAAGAACAUUAAUGGGUGGAGGAGCAUGGGCAUGUACCUGCAGUAUUUGGCUCUUGGCAUCUGGGCUUCCUGAGCUGCCUCUCCCUCACGUCUCAGCACGAGGGCUGCUGCUGUUGAGGGUGAGGACGGCCAGCGCCGCAUGUCCCCGUUUCAGGAAGUCGUUUCUGCAUGUGGAGCCACGUUGUUACCUCCCUAGGGGCAUGAUUGGGCCUUUAGGGCAUCCCUGUGUCUGCAGGAAUCAGGGCUGCUCCGCACCUAGGAGGGUACCCUGUGAGCUUGUCCGUUCUGGUGCCGCCUGCAGUGGGUUUUCUAGGUGUCUUCUACAGGGGUAG
rnacentral:lncRNA from 12 species